rnacentral:rRNA from 1 species
CGCGUAGGCGGUUUUUUAAGUCAGAUGUGUAAUCCCCGAGCUUAACUUGGGAACUGCAUCUGAGACUGGAAGGCUAGAGUACUGGAGAGGGUGGUGGAAUUCCUCGUGUAGCGGUGAAAUGCGUAGAGAUGAGGAGGAACACCAGUGGCGAAGGCGGCCACCUGGACAGUAACUGACGCUGAGGCGCGAAAGUGUGGGUAGCGAAACAGGAUUAGAUACCCUGGUAGUCCACGCUGUAAACGAUGAACACUUGGUGUGGAGGGAGUUCGACCCCUUCCGUGCCGGAGCUAACGCGUUAAGUGUUCCGCCUGGGGAGUACGGUCGCAAGGCUGAA